rnacentral:rRNA from 1 species
AUUGAACGCUGGCGGCAGGCCUAACACAUGCAAGUCGAGCGGAUGAAGGGAGCUUGCUCCUGGAUUCAGCGGCGGACGGGUGAGUAAUGCCUAGGAAUCUGCCUGGUAGUGGGGGAUAACGUCCGGAAACGGGCGCUAAUACCGCAUACGUCCUGAGGGAGAAAGUGGGGGAUCUUCGGACCUCACGCUAUCAGAUGAGCCUAGGUCGGAUUAGCUAGUUGGUGGGGUAAAGGCCUACCAAGGCGACGAUCCGUAACUGGUCUGAGAGGAUGAUCAGUCACACUGGAACUGAGACACGGUCCAGACUCCUACGGGAGGCAGCAGUGGGGAAUAUUGGACGAUGGGGGAGAGCCUGAUACAGCCAUGCCGCGUGUGUGAAGAAGGUCUUCGGAUUGUAAAGCACUUUAAGUUGGGAGGAAGGGCAGUAAGUUAAUACCUUGCUGUUUUGACGUUACCAACAGAAUAAGCACCGGCUAACUUCGUG